rnacentral:rRNA from 1 species
CUACGUGCCAGCAGCCGCGGUAAUACGGAAGGUCCAGGCGUUAUCCGGAUUUAUUGGGUUUAAAGGGAGCGUAGGCUGGAGAUUAAGUGUGUUGUGAAAUGUAGACGCUCAACGUCUGAAUUGCAGCGCAUACUGGUUUCCUUGAGUACGCACAACGUUGGCGGAAUUCGUCGUGUAGCGGUGAAAUGCUUAGAUAUGACGAAGAACUCCGAUUGCGAAGGCAGCUGACGGGAGCGCAACUGACGCUUAAGCUCGAAGGUGCGGGUAUCAAACAGGAUUAGAUACCCUGGUAGUCCGCACAGUAAACGAUGGAUGCCCGCUGUUGGUACCUGGUAUCAGCGGCUAAGCGAAAGCAUUAAGCAUCCCACCUGGGGAGUACGCCGGCAACGGUGAAACUCAAAGGAAUUGACGGGGGCCCGCACAAGCGGAGGAACAUGUGGUUUAAUUCGAUGAUACGCGAGGAACCUUACCCGGGCUUGAAUUGCAGACGACGUAUUUAGAGAUAGAUAUUCA